rnacentral:rRNA from 1 species
UACAGAGGUCCCAAGCGUUGUUCGGAUUCAUUGGGCGUAAAGGGUGCGUAGGUGGUUCGGUAAGUCGGAUGUGAAAUCUCCAGGCUCAACCUGGAGGGGUCAUUCGAUACUGCCGUGACUAGAGUUCGGUAGAGGAGUGUGGAAUUCCUGGUGGAGCGGUGAAAUGCGCAGAGAUCAGGAGGAACACCCGUAGCGAAGGCGGCACUCUGGGCCGAUACUGACACUGAGGAGCGAAAGCGUGGGGAGCGAACAGG